UACGUAGGGUCCGAGCGUUGUCCGGAAUUAUUGGGCGUAAAGGGCUCGUAGGCGGUUUUGUCACGUCGGGGAGUGAAAAACUCAGGGCUCAACCCCUGAGCGUGCUUCCGAUACGGGGCAGACUAGAGGUAUGCAGGGGGAGAACGGAAUUCCUGGUGUAGCGGUGAAAAUGCGCAGAUAUCAGGAGGAACACCGGUGGCGAAGGCGGCCUGCUGGGCAGUAGCUGACACUGAGGCGCGACAGCGUGGGGGGAGCAAAACAGG
rnacentral:rRNA from 1 species